rnacentral:rRNA from 1 species
CCUACGGGGGGCAGCAGUGAGGAAUAUUGGUCAAUGGGCGCGAGCCUGAACCAGCCAAGUAGCGUGAAGGAUGACUGCCCUACGGGUUGUAAACUUCUUUUAUAAAGGAAUAAAGUGAGGCACGUGUGCCUUUUUGUAUGUACUUUAUGAAUAAGGAUCGGCUAACUCCGUGCCAGCAGCCGCGGUAAUACGGAGGAUCCGAGCGUUAUCCGGAUUUAUUGGGUUUAAAGGGUGCGCAGGCGGCGAGUUAAGUCAGCGGUAAAAUUUCGGGGCUCAACCCCGACGAGCCGUUGAAACUGGCUUGC